AUAUAUGAAACGAUUAUAAGAAAGAAAAGAAAUGUAUUAAUAUUUUUAAAAUAUAAAUACAUUUCUUUUUUUUUAAUGUACUUUUUUUAUAAAAGGUGUAAUAAUAAUAUUUUAGAUAUUGUUAUACUAAUUUAUAAAAAUUGUACGAAAAUUUGAUAUUACAUAAUAUAAUUAUUUUUUAUUAAAUAAUUUAUGUAAUAUCAAAUUUUCAUCAACAAUAUUGAAUACUCAAACUUUUUACAUAAUUAUCUGUUUUAUUAUAUAUAUAUAUAUAUAUUAUAAUAAUAUCUUUAUGAGUUAGUUAUAUUUUGAAGAAAAAUAUAUAUUUUUUUAUAUUAUAUAUAUUAUUAUAAAAUAUAUGUAAUUCUUUUAAGUAUAAUAAUAAUAAUGAAUAUAGCA